AGUGAACGCUGGCGGUAGGCCUAACACAUGCAAGUCGAACGACAGCACAGUAAGAGCUUGCUCUUACGGGUGGCGAGUGGCGGACGGGUGAGGCAUACAUCGGAAUCUACUUUUUCGUGGGGGAUAACGUAGGGAAACUUACGCUAAUACCGCAUACGACCUACGGGUGAAAGCAGGGGAUCUUCGGACCUUGCGCGAUUGAAUGAGCCGAUGUCGGAUUAGCUAGUUGGCGGGGUAAAGGCCCACCAAGGCGACGAUCCGUAGCUGGUCUGAGAGGAUGAUCAGCCACACUGGAACUGAGACACGGUCCAGACUCCUACGGGAGGCAGCAGUGGGGAAUAUUGGACAAUGGGCGCAAGCCUGAUCCAGCCAUACCGCGUGGGUGAAGAAGGCCUUCGGGUUGUAAAGCCCUUUUGUUGGGAAAGAAAAGCAGCAGGUUAAUACCCCGCUGUUCUGACGGUACCCAAAGAAUAAGCACCGGCUAACUUCGUG
rnacentral:rRNA from 1 species